ACGACAAUAAUCUUCGCUGAGAUCCUCCUCCUUCCCAAAUUAGACUAGAUCAGAGCUCCUUUGUCUUCCGAAGCAUCUUCCAAAGGCGCCGCAUUUGGAUUACAACAGUGAUUUUCCAUUCUUCCCGGCACACCUCGGCGAAUUUCUGUCGUCCAGCGUAAAGAAAGAAACACUGUUACUCCCAAAACCAUAGCCACAGUCCACUUGAUUGAGUUAGCUGUAUCUUCUCAAAUCUUCAGCUUUAAAUUCAUUCAACAACCCAUAUAAGUUAAAAAUUGAAGAAUUAUAAUUUCGUCAACUCUUCAUUCUAUCACCAAU